AAAAAUCUUCUGAAUGUGCGAUUACACAGAGCCAGUUAAGAUUAACGAAAUUAAAUCCCUGCUCAUUAAAGCGGCAAAAUAGGGAAAAGGGUUGACGAAUUGAAUAAGAUAAAAUAUCCGAGAAGAGGCACAAUCUCCCUGAAAGAGAAGCGUUGAGGAAGUAUGGGGAAGUGUUUGAAGCAGUAAUGGAUAGAAUGGAUAAGGCAGAUGAAAG